rnacentral:misc_RNA from 1 species
AUACAGGUGACGGACAGAUUUGAGAAUCCCUUUACGCAGCUCUCUUCGCGCAGGGCUCUCGUUUGCGGCGGCGCUCGAGUACAUCAUUAGUCAAUUGAGCGCUACAAUUGAUCACGGCCCGCCAAUAAUCCAAUUUCAUCCAUAUUUCAGACAUUCCCUACACGACUACUCAAUUCGAAAAGAACCCCUAUCAAUUAUCGUUGAACGAGCUGUUUUUCUUUUACGUUCUUUUCAUGAAAUCGCGUGAUAUCGCAUAACGAACGAUCGCGCAAAAAAAUAGCGCACCGAAUUCAAGCGACUUCCGGUCAAAAGCGUCUUUCCCCACUGUAACUAACCUGUUUGUCGGUGGGAUUUCGUCUGAAAGCUGUUACCGAUAAUGAAUAAUUUUUUUCAUUUCCACAUUGGAUGUCGCAUGGAGGAUAGACGUUCAACGACCACUGACUUCGACGUAUUGUCGGAAUUCCGAUGAUUUUCACAUAAUAUUGUAAAAAACAAGCAUGAAAUUGACAGUCGCAUGAAAGAAGAAUGACGUUCGAAAGUAUUGUUUUCACGCUUGCGAAAUGACAGUGGAGGGGGAAUGACGUAGCGCGACUCGGUCGUGCGUUUGUCACAAAACUCGCAGAUCGUAAAUAAACAAUGAAAUCGUAAGAGGCUGACUGAUGAUUUGCGCAUGGAAAAUCGUGACCGGCGUCGUUCUGAAUUUUGACAGACUAGUCAACGACAGCCACAAUCGCGAAGGGGGAGUAAUGCGUUGCAGCAGGGGAGGGAGAGAGUUCAACGCCGAUUGGCGCGAGCGGAUUGCUCGACUGCUCGAGUCAAACGAUAAGCUCGUGUGUUGCACGAGCCAUCGGAAAGACAGUUUCAAAAUCGUCCUCCUCGGUGAGGGCUCGGUCGGAAAAACUUCCGUUGCCCUUCGUUACUCGGAGGAUGUCUUCAAUGACAAGUCCAUUUCCACGACACAGGCGGCGUUUUUCAAGAAAAAAUUGAACAUCAAUGGCAAAAGGGUUAAUCUUGCCAUCUGUGACACCGCCGGCCAAGAAAAGUUCCAUGCCCUCGGGCCUAUUUAUUAUCGACAGUCCAACGGAGCUAUACUGGUCUACGACAUAACGCAGGAACGAACUUUUCAACAGGUCAAGAGCUGGGUGAAAGAACUGAAAAAAAUUCUUGGUGGAGAAAUUCUUCUUGCCAUAGCUGGUAAUAAAAUUGAUCUUGAAAAAGAUAGGAAUGUCACUGUUCAAGAAGCCGAAGAAUACGCAAAACAAGUAGGAGCUGUGCACUUCCACACGUCGGCCAAGCAGAAUCGAAACAUCGAAGAGAUGUUUCUGGAUUUGACUCAAAGGAUGAUGGCCUAUGCCGAUGAGAUGGAGCAGAAAGAAUCGCUGACGCGAACUAACAGCAUGCGACGUAAUGUCGUUAUAGUUGAGGACGAGAUGGACGAGAGUCGAACGAACAAGAGUUCCUGCUGCGGGGGAGGCCCUUCUCAAGCCUCGUAACUCGGGGCCCUCGUCGCUUUUAUUCCUCAAACCCUCGUGUGAAAAGCUUUAAAUAUUAUAUAAUAUGUAUCUAUACACAUCAGAUGUAACGCAUCUGCUCGUAAAAUCACCGUCAACUCGCUCUUUAUCCACCGAAGUUCGAAACCAAAAAGGAAUUGAAUGAAAGAGGAUUUUCGAAAACAUGUCAAAUCAGACGAAGUGUUCGCACGUGCGUAUAAACGUGAAAGAUUUAAAUGAACUGGGGAGUACGUGUUCUAUGCAUACUGCCAAAUGAUGGGGAUGUGUGCGUUCGUUCGGUCGAAUAAAUUUCCGUGGAAAAUGAAAUUUUCCACGGAAAAACGAUAAAAGAGUCGACCUAUCGCUCGUUAUUAUUACUGUACCAUACCACUAAAUUUUAAGUACAACACUGCGACUCGAUCGUGUAUAUUAUCGAAGCCAUAUGAAUACGUAUAUGUAACUAAGGGGGACAUUGGUCUCGGUGUAAAAACCCCGAAUGACGUAACGAAGGGUACCAGAAUAUUUGUAGAUCGAAGCGUUUUAGACAAAACUUUGAUUCGAAAGUACGAUUGAUGUACGGUGCAAUAAAUCUGUAACAAAAGUCGA